UUCUGUAUUUAGGCGAUUUAUGACGUAUUAAAAAAAACUACUUACUAGAUCUCUUUCAAACCAAUUUUCGGUGGAAGUUUACAUGGUAAUGUACAUCAUAUUUUUUUUUUAGUUUUAUCAUUCUGUUAUUUUAGAAGUUACAGGGGGGGGGGACACACAUUUUACCACUUUGGAAGUGUCUCUCGCGCAAAAUAUUCAGUUUAGAAAAUAAUGAUAUUAGAAACCUUAAUAUCAUUUUCGAAGACCUAUCCAUAGAUACCCCACACGUAUGGGUUUGAUGAAAAUAAAAAUUUUGAGGGAUUUAUGACGUAUUAAAAAAACUACUUACUAGAUCUCGUUCAAACCAAUUUUCGGUGGAAGUUUACAUGGUAAUGUACAUCAUAUAUUUUUUUUUAGUUUUAUCAUUCUCUUAUUUUAGAAGUUACAGGGGGGGCCACACACAUUUUACCACUUUGGAAGUGUCUCUCGCGCAAACUAUUCAGUUUAGAAAAAAAUGAUAUUAGAAACCUCAAUAUCAUUUUUGAAGACCUAUCCAUAGAUACCCCACACGUAUGGGUCUGAUGAAAAAAAAAAUUUUUAGGGAUUUAUGACGUAUUAAAA